rnacentral:tRNA from 1 species
GAGGGUAUAGCUCAGUGGUGGAGCACGUGCUUAGGGUGUGUGAAAUCCUGGGUUCAAUACCCAGUGCCUUCA